rnacentral:siRNA from 1 species
UAUGCAGUUUCAGGAGGACA